GUCUGUUUCUAGUGGCGGACGGGUGAGUAACGCGUGGGUAACCUGCCUUAUACAGGGGGAUAACAACCAGAAAUGGUUGCUAAUACCGCAUAAGCGCACAGGACCGCAUGGUCUGGUGUGAAAAACUCCGGUGGUAUAAGAUGGACCCGCGUUGGAUUAGCUAGUUGGCAGGGUAACGGCCUACCAAGGCGACGAUCCAUAGCCGGCCUGAGAGGGUGAACGGCCACAUUGGGACUGAGACACGGCCCAGACUCCUACGGGAGGCAGCAGUGGGGAAUAUUGCACAAUGGGGGAAACCCUGAUGCAGCGACGCCGCGUGAAGGAAGAAGUAUCUCGGUAUGUAAACUUCUAUCAGCAGGGAAGAUAGUGACGGUACCUGACUAAGAAGCCCCGGCUAACUACGUGCCAGCAGCCGCGGUAAUACGUAGGGGGCAAGCGUUAUCCGGAUUUACUGGGUGUAAAGGGAGCGUAGACGGACUGGCAAGUCUGAUGUGAAAGGCGGGGGGCUCAACCCCCGGACUGCAUUGGAAACUGUUAGUCUUGAGUGCCGGAGAGGUAAGCGGAAUUCCUAGUGUAGCGGUGAAAUGCGUAGAUAUUAGGAGGAACACC
rnacentral:rRNA from 1 species